rnacentral:lncRNA from 1 species
UAUUUUUUUCAUUUGACACAUUUUUUUUUGUCACUAAGAAAUAUACAUCUAUUAAUUUAAAGGUUGGAUAAAUUAAAUAAAAAUAUUUUUUCAUCAUAAACUGCUGUGAUCGAGCGAUCCUAACCAGCGCUGAGAAAAGUAAUAGAUACCACGUGACCACGCCUUAUUCUGAAAACAUUUAAAAAAUAAAAUUUACACGAGAAUAAUGAUAUUUAUAGAUCUUAACAGAUCUUAGAAACUAUAUAGUGAAGUGCUAAAACAAAAUUAUUAUUUGGACCCAUUGUAUUUGACCAAGCGAUUACAGACAAGGUAAAGGCAGGUAAGCACCGCCCAUUUUCAGUUUGCACGUUAACGGUACAUUACAGAUUGUUUUGCUAACCGCCACAAUGAAAUUUCGCAUUAUGAUGAGCUCGUUUAUGAAGGAUGCCCAAUUAUUAAUAUAUUGGACCCCACAGCUCCACUUUGACUGUGUGAAGAAUUACAUGCUGGAGCAUCUCGCAUGAUGAAAAAGAUUGAUUGCACAGUGGCAGACUCUCCAGGGACUGUGUGCGAUGGGUCCCCAGAGUAUCCAGAAGCAGAGGCAGAGGAAGGAGCCGCUUCAGGCGUGGAGCUCUUCCAAAUACGCAGACGUUCCAGCCGGAACCUGCAGCUGCCCCCGUUGGUCUUCCGGCAAGCUGAGCAACAUGACUGGAACAGCAAAGAGACUGAGCCGAUUGCCCGUCCAACCACUCUGGCACUGCGCAUCCCCCCGCUCAUCGCCAUCACAUCUGCUGACGCCGGCAGUUCCAAACAAGGAUCACAGCAGAAGUAUCACACAUUCUCCAAGCAACAUUCUGCGGUGUUUUGUUACUUCAGUGUUUUGAACGAAUCGGUUGAAUGACACAAUGACUUUUUAAAAGUAUGCAUUUCCCCCCACAACAUUUCUAAAACAUUAAUGUCAUAACAUUAUUUAUUUCAGUUGUAAUUUUGCGGUGUAAAUUAUUUAAUCUGACUCGUAACAGUCCUAUAGUGUAUAUUAAAUUUAUUCAUCAAUUGUGAUAAUUUGACAUGAACGAUGAUGCAUACAUUUAAAAAGGUUGAAAAAGAUCUUCGUAAGGGUAAAUAAAAAUAUGCAGAUUUAAGUAUAUAAAAGCUGAUAGAGCACUUAAAAUAUUGCUUCAGAAUAAAUUGUUUACACCACCAAAGAUCUUUGUGAUGCAGUACGUUUGUGGGGAUAUUUUGUAUUGAAUAUUGUCUGCUGAUAUGAAAAGUUCACAGUAUAUCAUAGUAAUAAAAAUAAUUUAUGACAGCGAUGAUAUUUUGUUUUCUUUUUACAUUAAACAUUAAAUAUUACAUAUAUGUAUGUAAUAUUAAGUGUAUUUCCAUUACAGGAUUAGGUUUUAAAUUUCAUAUUAGGUGGUAUUAAAAAAGGUCUUAAAAAGUCUUAAAUUUAACUUGUUCAUAUCUGCAGAAACCCAGGUAAUGUAUGUUUUUGGUUCACUAAGAAGAACUGGCUGAUAAGAGCCAUUUGUUUGCGAUUUGGGUGAUACUGGUUGUAAUGUAUGUUUUUGGUUCACUAAGAAGAACUGGUUCAUAAGAGCCAUUUGUUUGUGAUUCAAACUACACUGGUUGUAUGUUUUUGGUUCAUUAAGAAGAACCAAGAGUCAUUUGUUUGUGAACUUUCAUUUACUAUAUAAUAUAGAUCAUUUGUUAGGAUGAGAAUCCUCAAAAACAAUUUUAGUACUGGAACCAGAAACAUUAAAGUCCUCAUGAUUCCCACCCUAGACAUCAAGCCUUGUUAGUUUUGUUCAACAAUUCUCAGUUUUCUCUUACCUGGAACUCAUGAAUAUUUAUUUUCAUUGUGUCAGCUCGUACACCAGGCCACUUUAAUCUUUCAUUCCAGCUGAAGUGUUUGAUUUUUCGGAAAGAGGAGCGCAUGUAGAACCAGAACAAACGCAAGGAUUAGAGCGAUCGUUCACCGUAAAGCCCUCGCAUCUCAAUGAGGAAUUAACCCCCGCUCUCCGUGUGUGACUUCUGUUCAGUGUUGGAGGGGCCAUCAAUUAUGCUAUUGGCUAAUAGGAGUCCGUUAAGUUUGGCCUUCGGAAAGACUGCUGUACGACUGAAGCACUCUGCGUGGGAACUGGAUUAGCCAUUAGGCUGCCAGAGCUUCAGAUCAUUGCUCUUGACAGCUGUAGGUGUUGUCAGGGCUCAUGGAGAUUUAUGGGUAAUCAGUCAUCUUUUUGGUUUGAUGGAGAGCAGCGUGUUAUUUAUAAUUGUAAAUCUAGGAAGUCUUUGGACUACGCUGAGAGAGAACU